GACGAACGCUGGCGGCGUGCUUAACACAUGCAAGUCGAACGGAAAGGCCCUGCUUUUGUGGGGUGCUCGAGUGGCGAACGGGUGAGUAACACGUGAGUAACCUGCCCUUGACUUUGGGAUAACUUCAGGAAACUGGGGCUAAUACCGGAUAGGAGCUCCUGCAGCAUGGUGGGGGUUGGAAAGUUUCGGCGGUUGGGGAUGGACUCGCGGCUUAUCAGCUUGUUGGUGGGGUAGUGGCUUACCAAGGCUUUGACGGGUAGCCGGCCUGAGAGGGUGACCGGCCACAUUGGGACUGAGAUACGGCACAGACUCCUACGGGAGGCAGCAGUGGGGAAUAUUGCACAAUGGGCGGAAGCCUGAUGCAGCAACGCCGCGUGCGGGAUGACGGCCUUCGGGUUGUAAACCGCUUUCGCCUGUGACGAAGCGUGAGUGACGGUAAUGGGGAAAGAAGCACCGGCUAACUACGU
rnacentral:rRNA from 1 species